GGAAUGUGUUUCAGUCGCAAACUUCGGACAGAAUAUAUUAUUCUGUCACAAAUUUGGGACGAACAUUUUCUUUCUGUCACAGAUAUCUAUUUAAAUUUUUUUGUGGGAAAGUUAGCGCCAUCAUUGAGAGAAAAACUUUUUACUAAAAUAUUUUUUUAUUCUUAAUUCUUAAUAUAUCAUCAUCAUCGAACUAGAUCUAGUGAUAUAAAAUUAAAGUUAGGGUUUUCUUCUUCCUCUGCCGCCGUCACUCACCUCUUAACUCACCCUUCUCCUACCACCACUCCCUCACCCUUCAGAUUCCAUAACUCUUAUUUGCCUUCCCCAACUCUCAAUGGCAACGGAAGAUGCACAACCAGAACAACCACUAAGCUUGGCCUCACCGACUCGAGAUAGCAUCCACAACGACGCCAUUCAUAUCAACAAAUUGUUCUUCAAAGGAAGUGGUCGAUUUUGUUUUAUUUUUCAUUUAUCCAAAUGAGCCAGUGGUGAAAUGGGUCAGUUUGAAGUGUUAAUUUUGUUCAGCUUUCUGUGGGUGAUUAAGAAGAAAAAGAUUAUGUAGAGAAAGAGAUAAUGGGAGCUGAUUUGGUGGAAAGGUUAUGGCUUUUUGCCCAUUUUUUAUUGUGGAAUUGCUUCAGAUCGGUAUGAAAAUGCUUCAUAUGUCUCUAGUUUUGAAUGUUCUUUUUACUUGACAAUCAGUAUUAUUGUUUAUCUCUGAGUCAUCCUUGAUCUAGGGUAUCAUGAUUAAGUAUGUUAUCAAUUUUAGUUAAUGAUUCAUUUGAAUUUUUUUUGAUUGAAUUGAUCUGGUAUUUUUUCAUAAGAAAAUUGAUCUGGUAUUUUUUGUUUCUACUUAAUGUUGUGCUUUAAUUUUUGUUCAUUUUGAAUUGAUUAGUGGUUUGAACUCAAUUUGUUCUUUUGGCUGGAAAAAUCCUACAAGGAAAAAUAUAACUGACCAAGAUGGAGCUAAUAAUUGUAAGGCUUUGUGUUUGGAAGCUUGGUGGCUAUGAUUUCAGUCCUAAGAGGAAAACUUUCUAAAGUUAUGGUCACAACUUGAAUCUCUAACUCAACAUUAUGAGUCUGAUGAUAAUGGAGUACUCGCCCUAAGCUUAUAGAUUAUGAUGGAUUCUAUUUGGAUGGUGGAAACAUGUGUUCAUACCUCGAUGAUAAUAGUGAUGGCUUUGGACUUAAAAAUCUUCAAAAUUAUUAGAAGUUUAGUCUUUUAGAUGUAUUGUUAUAUAUAAUUUGGAUUAUGUAUUAUGUUUAUCAUUGUACAAUUUAUAUUUUGCACGGGACAAAUAAAUAUGUAAUUGCUUAUCAGUUUAAUGAAAUUCGAUGAUUAUUAGAUUAUGAA